UGUGACUCUGCUCUGUCAACUGAUUUGAAAACGAUAAACACAUUCAGAUCUAGUCUUUUUAAAAUCCCUUUUUAAAUUGUAAAAUAAAGCAAGCAUGCUAUAAGGGGAUUGUUUAGUUUAAGAUUUUAUAAGACCCUCUAAACAACCACCUGCGUCACCGCAGUCAUACCCUGCAAUGGGCCACACAGUGUCCUGUGAGGAGCCAAGCUCUUCUGACACUUUAUGUCUGGUGGUCUCCAAGCCUCUCUUUCUCAGGAACCAAGGGGUCCCUUCUGUCAUAAGUUGCUGACACCCAAGGUCAAGCAGCACUGGGUUUGGGGGAAUCAUAGAGGUAACUUCCAGGCAAGGGUCCCAGGGCAGGAGGCAGCUGGAGAGCACAGUAGAUAACCCAGGUUUUGGGGAAUGGAUUUGAGAAAUAUGUCAAACCAGUUCUGUUAUUCUAUCUUCCAUCUUGUCUAUUCUCUAAUUUUCUUAUUUAAACUCAAACCUACAGCAUAAAUUCCAGCCCUGAUCAAAGCUCCACAUCCGCACAGACACCUUCUCUGAAUCCCGCAGGAAGCAAACUUGCCUCUGUCCACUCCCAUCCAUUCAGAUCCCGUGGACCAUGGUCUGGAAGCUUCCUCACUCAUCUACUCUCCUUCUCUUGACCUGAAGUGUCCUUGGUUUAAGAUCACAACUCCUCACUGGAUUUCCUCUCCACACUGACACUGGAAGCGGUGUUUUCUCCUUCUGGUCUCUUUAUUCCCAGCAUGUUAAAUCAUCAGGCUCAGAGUUCAGUGUCUCUGGAUUGUAGCUUUACAUUGGCCUUUAGGGAGGAGAGUGGGUCCUGGCCGUUCUCUUCGUGUCUUAGCUUGCCUAGGUCUCCUGAAUUCUGUGUUUCUUGGGGGCUCCUCAACUGCACUAUUUCACACAGGGUCUGCAGGACUGCACCGCAGGGAAACACAGAGGUCAAGCCUGGGGGCAUCCAUGCACUCCCAGGAUACACAGAGGCCGAGCCUGGGGGAAUCCGUGCACCCCCAGAAAACACAGAGGCCGAGCCUGGAGACAUCCGUGUCCAGUGUGCCACUAAGGCUCCCACUCCUCCAGUGCAGGAUCCUGAGUCUGUGGCUGCAGCCGGCACUGUGACCUCACAAGAUCUCCCCAUUUGCAUGGCUAAUGACCAGAGCUUCAGCUGGGAGUGGCCUCAGCCCUGCCCAAUUCUGCCGUGAAGAGACAGCACGCUUCUAUGUAGGGUGAUCUUUGGUCUCUUUGGAGCACGGUGCGUGGGGACCUGCAGAGACGAUGACAUCACAGCAGUCACAUCACAGGCUGACAUCCGAUCAGAGAUGCGAUGCCCAAAACCAGUACCCCUGGCAGGGUGACUCCUGCCCAGCUCUGUCCCACCCGGCCAUGGGCUCCAGGUACCUCUGAUGGGAAGGCCUUUGUCUCCUGGGACCCGGCCCAGUGGAUUCUGCUGUGCAGAACAGAGAGCAGUGGACCUCGGGAGGCCUGCAAGGGGAGGACAUAGGAGAGUGACAUCAUAGGAUGCCCCUCCCACCAGGAAAAGGGAGGCUGAGAACUCAGCUCUUCCCCAGGAGGACCAAGCCCUGAGCACAGACACGGUGCUGCCUGCCCCUUUGUGCCACGGGCUCCAUGCUGCUCUGCUGGGCACUGCUUUGUCUCCUGGGAGCAGGCCCAGUAGAGGCUGGAGUCACCCAAACUCCAAGAUCUCUGAUCAAAACAAGAGGACAGCAAGUGACACUGAGCUGCUCCCCUGUCUCUGGGCAUAACAGUGUGUCCUGGUACCAACAAGCUCCAGACCUGCUGACUCUAAUAGCAUCGUAGUCGGAGAUCAGUUUACCCUGGAGACAGUGGUGUAGGGAAAGUGGUCUGAAGAGGCACCAUGACUCCCAGCCGUGACUUCCACUCUAACACCAGCUCAUCAAGAUCUCAGGCCAGUUCUUAAUGGGUUAAGUUUAGCUUUAACAUUUUUUUUUAAAUCUACAAAAUGAGACUAACACUCUCCAUCAGCAGAGAUCUAUAUAACCUUUAAUGGCAUAAAGUAUCUAGCGUAUAGUAGAAGCCUAGAUAUCUUGGUUUCCUUUGCUGGUCUCAGACAACCUCUUCCACUAUGCCAAUGUGCAAAGACAGAUAUGGACACAUUCUGCAAAGAAAUCUUAGGUUGAGGACUCAGAAGUCACAGAAAUGGAAAUAUAUAUGCUUGAUAAUUCAUUUGAUAAAAUUAACUAGAGGAUGUAGCAUACAUAUCUCCUCAGACAUUCAAAAAUCCACAUUUUUGAUAUAUAAAUUAUAUGAAGUAAACACGACAUCUUUUAAAUGAACAGAUCAGUGAUUUUUGAGCAACAUAUAUCGACGUAUGCAACCCCGCCUCUAUGAAGAUGUAUCUGCCUCACCACGAAAGUCCCUCACUCCCCUCUGCAAUGCCUCUCUCUGUCCCAACGACCAAUGAGGUGACCUCUAUCACUGGAGAGUCAUUUUGUUCGCAAAUAUUUUUAAUGCAAAUGUCAAACCUCAUCUGAUUAAUCCCCUUGAAUACACAGCUAAGUAAUCAAGGCAGGGAGGAGUUCCUGGGAGGUUUUCUGGUUUUAGAAGGGGUUGAAGCCAUGUGAGCUACCUGACCCAUGGUAGGGACAAUUCUAUCUGGAGAUGGAUGUUGUGCCGAAAUAACCUCAAAAGGUCUUUUCAGCUGGUAGAAGCUGAUUCUACAAAAUUUAUUCAUUUUCAUUCAUUUAUUUUCUCAUCAGCUCAUUCAAUCAAACACAUUUAUGUCAUGUUUUGACAAAAGUUAAUCAUUUUUAAGGAAAUUAUUUUGAGUUCCCAUCAGACACACAUGCAGCUGGGCUUCGUGUUCACACAGUGAGCAUGCUGGGGUCAAGCAAACCAACAUCACAGCGACUUCAUUGACAGAUGAUGUCUUAUUAGGAGAAGGGUUCUCUUUGACUUGACGCCAAGUGUCCAACCCGUAAAACCUGAGCCUUGAGCUAAAAUCGAUCUUCCUGUUCUGGCCCUGCCCUGGGCACCAGGCCACUGUGCUGUGUGUUUCUGUCUCCUGAACCACAGUCCUGGACACAGAUAUGGAACCUAUUCAUGGGCUUGUUUGAUUCCAGCUGUGACUUUCAGUACCAGGUGGUCCUUUGCUGUGACUUUAAUUUCUGUUUUCUUUAUUCUUAAGUUCCGUAGAUGCUGAGUGACCCAGACCCUGGUUGUGCUCUUGUGCUGAAAGGAAACAAGCACAUGGGGAGACCCAGAAGACCCCUCCGUCCUGCAGCCCGUGCCAUGAACAUCAGGCUCCUGUGCUGUGCGGCCUUUUCUCUCCUGUGGCCAGGUCCAGUGAAUGCUGGUGUCACUCAGACCCCAAAAUUCCAGGUCCUGAAGACAGGACAGAACAUGACACUGAAGUGUGCCCAGGAUAUGAACCAUGACCGUAUGUACUGGUAUCGACAAGACCCAGGCAUGGGACUGAGGCUGAUUCAUUACUCAGCUGGUGAAGGUAGCACUGAGAAAGGAGAAGUCCCCAAUGGCUACAAUGCCUCCAGAUUAAACAAAAAGGAUUUCCUGCUCAGGUUGGAGUCAGCUGCUCCCUCCCAGACAUCUAUGUACUUCUGUGCCAGCAGUGAAGCCACAGUGCUGCACGGCCGUCUCCUCUCUGCACAUAAAGGCAGGGGAGGCUCUGCCCUCCUCCCCACCCCAGACUCAGCAAUGCCCUUGGUCCUAGCACCAGAAACUUUGGAGCCUCAGUGGGCCUGGGCAAUGCCAGUCUUGGUCUGUGCCAGGUGCCUCUGCAGUCGGUCUUGGCCCGGUCUGGACUGGACUGGUCCCAGCGCCUCAGAUGUCUUCUUUGUCCCCCUCUGGUCUUUCCUCUGAGCUGUCCUUUCGGGUUGGGACCAGAGGUUUCCCAGCUCUGACUUUCCUAGUCAUUCACCUGAGUCUGAGGCCUCGUAGGUGAAAUAGGAUUUGUAUUUCAGAUCCAUCUAGACUCCCAUCUCUACCUGCGUACCAGAUGCUUUCCUCUCUAUGAUUUUUCCUCAUAUUGAACCCUAAAGUCGUCUUAGCCACAGCCUGCAUUUCCUAUAUUCACAGUCGCCCUCCAAUACCUUGCUGGGUUUCUCCUCCCCGACCUCCCUGCCCUUCUCUACUCUUGCCAUGUUGAGAGACUCCAAAGUCCACUUCCUGUGCCCUGGGCUGGAGACUUCCUUUCUGUAGUGGUCAACACCUACCUGUGCUUCAGAUCUCAGCAUGAUCAGCCCUGGUGAUAAUCACCACUAUGUUUCCCUCAGCUCCCAGCUGAGGUCAGUUUCCCUUUAAUAAUCUCUCAUGCUAUCAUGUGUCUGUUAGUCAGUAGAAUUUAGCACAAUUGGAAUCUUCCAGAUACUUUAAACCCCAUGAAGGCCAAGGCUAUGUCUGCUUUAU